GCAGCGGCUUGGGCUUCAAUAACCCCAAGAAUUUAAGUAACCAUAAAUAAAGAGGGAAGUUGGAUAUGAGACUGGGUGGGUCAGAAACAGCCACAGAAAUGCAUGUGUGAGGCCCACACAUGGAAGCGGUCUUGAAACACAUGUUCAGUGAUGAUCACUCAUGUGAUCUUGUGACCCCUCAACCUUCCGAUAUGGUCUGACCAGAGCAGGUGCCAUCAAUGAUCCAGCCCACAGACCCAAAAAAGAAAAUAAUGUUCACAGGCAAUGAAAUGUUGUAUGUGACGUACGAUCAUGGGAGUGACCACGUAACGAAGACACAAGAGCCAAGGCAAGAAUUGUAAGACUGAGGCCCUCACCAAACGCUCCGAGGAGCUGACUGCAGCGAAGAACACCCAGGAAGGAACACACCGGACAAGUUG